rnacentral:lncRNA from 1 species
GCUGCCGCCUUGCAGUUUGAUCUCAGACUGCUGUGCUAGCAAUCAGCGAGACUCCGUGGGCGUAGGACCCUCUGAGCCAGUCACCAAUGCUGCUCAUUGCAAUGUAUGGAGUGAAAGAGGCUGCCAUCGGUAUCCAGAAGAAGGUGUUACUUCGGUACCCAUACUCAUAAUCCAUAUGCUCCUGAAAUCAUGUGGAACAUGCAACUAGGACCUUCUGAACACGUAGCCUGAUUUACUUAUGAAGAAGCAAAUUCAACCAAGUGAUACGAAUUGUCUAAGGUCAUACAGUUAAUAACUUGUAAGAGCCCAGCACAGCACAGAUUUACAAAAUGAUACACAAAGACCUCAGAGAGCCUCAAGACUGUAACAUGGAAAUUGUGCCUAAGUUUCCAGUCUUCCAACUACAACAUUAACUCUAACCCAAGUUUCCAGUCUUCCAACUACAGCAUUAACUCUAACCCAAGUUUCCAGCCUGGUGUUCUGCCUUGUGGAUUUCAGAUUUGCCAAGCCCCACAAUUACAUAAUGAAAUUCCUUAAAGAAGCGAACUUUUGCUAUUGCACAGACCUGCUGCCUCCAGAGCGCCACGCCACUGAUUGUUUUCCUUGUUUCGUGGAAGGAAGACAAAACUUGUUCCAGCUCAACAAGGCUUCCUAUAUCUUUUGCCCCAUCAGUUUGUAAUUGUCCCCAAAUUCCAAUAUCUAAAACAUAAGAUCAAUAUUUUAUAAAGUGCCAUUUUAGUUAUGCAUUAUUUAGCUUUUCCUAUGAUAAAUUUUCCUACAAAGGUGUCAAAGUUACCCUCUUGGGCCAAGAUACAAGUAAUCUAAUGUAUGACAUUAUUAGAGCAACUAUUGAAGAAAUGGGAAAGAAGCAGAAAGUAUUGAUAUAAUAAAAGAAAAUCUUGUGUUUUCUGAUUUUAAACGUCCUCUGUCUGCAGCUUUAUAGGACUUUAUUUAUUCUAAGGAAAUCAAUGAAAAAAAACUCAUUAAGAAAUCUAUUUGUUGUAAAAGAUAAACCACUUAGUAUUUCUGACCAAGGUAGGAGAGUUAGUAUAUACAGAAACCCCUCCUCUACCCUUCAAGAACAUAAAAAUGGGAGAAACGAUAUUUUUAAAAUAUAACCAUGGUUAAAAGCAAGAUAAAAGUUACCUGUUUUGAGGUGAAGCCUAGAGAAAAUGACUAACUCUGGCUACUAGAAAGCUAUAAAAUAUGUACAUACAUUAAAAUUUAGUAUAACACUAAAAAAGUAACAAGUAUAUAACUUCAAAAAUGAAUAAGAGAGGAAAAGGAGGAUUAAAGAAAAAUGCUUGAUCAAUCCAAAAAGACCCCCAGAAAAUUGCAAAAAUGAAAAUAAAGAGCACAGUAAAGAGUAAACACCAUAAGAUGAUAGUGAACCAGUAAAAAAAAUUAUCUUAGCAGCAAUAAGAGAGAAAAGACAGAAUGCUUCCCAAGGAAUAAAGAUGAGACAGAGAGCAAACUUUCCAAAAGCAACAACUAAAUCCCAGAUACAUUGGAAUAAUAUCACUGAAAUGCUACCAGAAAAGUAGCAUUUCUGUGAACUCUAAUUUUCUUUUCUCUAUAGCAUGUAUAUUCAGGUAAUAUCAUACCAUAUAUUUAUUGUUUGCUGCAUAAGGAACUAGUGUUGUACAUUGCUAUAUUCCACAGAGAUAUAUUUCUUCUCUAAGUUUUCCCAAGACAAGCCUGAAUCAUAGCACCAACAAAAGUAUAUAAUCUCAUCAUUUGGGCAUAUUUUCAAGAUAAAAUACUGCACACAAAGAUAAAAUCUUUCUUUCGUCCUUCCUUCCUUCCUUCCUUUCUUUCUUUCUCCCUUUCUUUCUCUUUCUUAUUUUUUCUUACCUGAUUCAUCAAUAGUUGAUUUUCCUUCUAAUUUCAGAAACACCUCAUUCAAAGUUGUUAUGGAAACACCAUAAUCCUCAAUGCCUUGGUUAGAACAUCUAUCAAGAUCCCUGUAAAGUUCUAAAAGUGGAUACAAAAACAGAUUAUAAGAAUAUAAUUUAUAAUGAGAACCAUAUUUCUCAAAAAUGUAAAAUAUUGGUAAUAGGCCAAAUGUACUAAUCAGAAACAAAAUUGUGAUACAGAUGAUCUCAUUUCUAAAAUGAUCCAUAUAGUAUGUUACUUUUCAUGUCUUUUUGAGAUCAAAGUCUAAUCUAAACAUUUAUUUUUUCACUCUUAGGAAACUACCUAUGUGUUUUUUGAAAAACAUAUUUUAAUAUAUUUUUUAAAAUUUAUUUUUGUUAUAUUACAGGGAGUGUUUAAUUCUCAAUUUCAACUAAUUAAAAAAAUAUUUUCCAGAGAAUAGAGAUUUGUGCUUUCUUGUUGAGAUUAAUUAUUAGAGAAUUAUAAUAACAAAUGUAAAAGAACUAAUGUUUAUAGAAAUAAUUAAGUAUAGACUCUUUGAUAGUUUAAAAACAUGUAAAAUUUCUAUUUUUUUUUUUUUGAGACAGAGUCUUGCUUUGUUGUCCAGGCUGGAAUGCAGUGGCUCAAUUUUGGUUCACUGCAACCUGCACCUCCCAGAUUCAAGUGAUCCUCCUGCUUCAGCCUCCCGAGUAGCUGGGAUUACAGGUGCACAACACCACGCCUGGCUAAUUUUGUGUGUGUGUGUGUGUGUGUGUGUAUGUGUGUGUGUGUGUGUGCGCGCGUUUAGUAGAGAUGGAGUUUCACCAUGUUGGCCAAGCUUGUCUUGAACUCCUGACCUCAAGUGAUCCGCCUGCCUCAGCCUCCCAAAGGGCUGGGAUUACAGGCAUGGGCCACCGCGCCCAGCCCAUAAAUAUGUAAAGUUUUUAAAAGGACAAAAUAUGUAUGUAACUUUGCACCUCCUCUCUCUGUCUCUCUCUCCCUCUCUCUUUCAACUUCUGACCAUGGUGUGAAAAUUCAGGAAAACUGAAAGGUGGAUAAAAGAUAAACUAAUUCAAUAUUGGGAUAAAUUAAAGACUUCAAUCUUAAUUAUGUGUUGGACAAAGAAAAAUAGAGAUGUAGUCAAAAUUUCUAAUGAGUCCUUAAACUUACCUAAGGGUUAAUUGUUUUUCAGUCUUUCUCCAAAUUUCUCAUCCACUUUGGAAUGCAUUUAAUAAGCAAUCAGCUAAAACUUUGCUGUGUGAUCUUCACAAAGAUUUCUGUUUUUAUAAGGAUACAUAUCUCAAAGAUAUUGUGUAUGCACUGUGAACCAUUAUUUCACUUAUUCUAAGAGAUAUAUUUCAUCAUCUUUUAAUAUAUCUGAAAUAAUAAUGGAUCUUAAAUGAUAGUAGAUCAUAUUUUAAAUGGUAGCAUUAUUUCUUUGUGUUUCUUUCUUAGUGGUACAUCCUGUAGUUGAGGGCUUCUUACACCUGAUGAAAUACCAUAGGUUCUGCAUGUCAGGUAUUGUUCCAGUGCUUUAUUUAUAUUUAAUAUUUCAAUACAUUUGAAGGUAUUAAAUCAUUUAAUCCUCAUAACAACCCUAGAGUACUAUUUUAAUUUUCUUUUCACAAGUGAGGAAACUGAGAUACAGAAUAGUACUAUAACCUGUUAAGGAUUAUAGAGCUAAUAAUAGCAUAGCUGGUGUUUGAAUCUAGACUGGCUCUAGCAUUGAGUUUCAAUCUCUGCACUUUAUUGUCUGGUUCUGUGUUUCUUUAUGGACCAAGGUUAUGUCAUGCUUAUUGAUUCAAGCAUGCAGCAAUGGCCCCGGUAUAAUUUCUUGAACUUGAUAUGGCAAACACAUUUUUACAGAGUAAACUUAAGAAGCAUUCUACCUCAAAACGCUUAGGAAGUGAAACAGUGCAUUGGGAGAUACCAUAGAAAAGUAAUAACACCAGUAGUUCUCCAAGCUUCUGUGUUUGCAGCAAAGUUGUACAUUGAAGUGUUUGGCAGAAUGCACGCCAAUCCAAGUUAUGUUCAAUAACUUGGAUUAUAUCAGUAUGUGCUGGUGUUUCUAAAACAACCUAUUUAUUGUGUACAAUUCUUUCAGCUCUUCUUCGAUAGUCUGCCACUGUAUUUAUAUACCUGUUCCUGCCCUGACCACACUCUCUCAUUCAUUACUGAAACAAAUUUUCCAAAUAAUUCUUAUUUUAUCUUGCUGCUAGCCUACGCCUCUUAAUUGCACUUAAUUGACUUGAAGCAUAUUUAACAUCUACAUGCCUUGGUUUACUCAUAAGUAGCAUAUGGAUAAUACUAAGGGGUAAUAUUAUAAGUGACCUUGGAGUUGGGAAUAUUAAAUGAGUAAACGCAUUGUGCCAUUCAUCUAGCAAGCAUUAAAACUAGCCAUCAUUCUUAUCACCACUGUUAUUGUUAAUAACACCAUUCCAAAACCAUUCUGUCAUCUUUACAUUUUGUUACCUG